rnacentral:rRNA from 1 species
UACGAAGGGGGCUAGCGUUGCUCGGAAUUACUGGGCGUAAAGGGCGCGUAGGCGGAUAGUUUAGUCAGAGGUGAAAGCCCAGGGCUCAACCCUGGAAUUGCCUUUGAUACUGGCUAUCUUGAGUUCGGGAGAGGUGAGUGGAACUCCGAGUGUAGAGGUGAAAUUCGUAGAUAUUCGGAAGAACACCAGUGGCGAAGGCGACUCACUGGCCCGAUACUGACGCUGAGGCGCGAAAGGCGUGGGGAGCAAACAGG